rnacentral:tRNA from 1 species
UAGGAUGUAGUAUAACGGGAGUAUGGGGAGUUUUGAUUUCCCUGGUGUAGGUUCAAUUCCUAUUUUUCUAA